AGAAUGUGUUUUGCCAAUUACAGCAUAAUGUGAGCUACAAAGAAGUGUUUGGCAUGGACUGCAUAGGGCUAUUAGUGUCAGGUUACAGCAGGGAAAAGGGUGCCUUAAUUUACCAAAUAACCAGCAUGGGUUUCACCCCACAUUUGCAAGGAAAAUCACUGCUUUGAGAGAAAAGAGAUGGGCCUAAUCCCAUGUCAAAUGAAUUUGGUAAGGAGAAGCAGGGUGAGAAACCAAGGCGGGGGACUGCAGAGCUCUGAUUGAUGGCUGUUUUCUGUCCUCUUCUGCUUAAAAACCACCUGCUCCGAGGGGAAGGCAAAGCAUCUCAUUCACAUGGAGUCAGCGGGAAGCAGCAGCCAAGAGGCAGCAGCGAGUACGCUCAGGAAGCCCACUUGGCUCUGUUUCCUGCUAACAUUCAGCCCUGGCUCACAAAAUCUUUGAGAACAACAGGCCUGAGACUGCUUGGCUCCAUUAAAAAAACUGGCAACUUUUCAAGCCCUGACAGAAAAGCUUUGAAAACUCUGGAUUUCCUCCAGCUAACGUAUGAGGCUCCUACAUCAGUGACAAAUUAGACUGAAACAGCACAAAACACUCCUAUGUAAAUAGCCUUUUUCUGCGUUCACUCUUUUAAUAGUUCAAACAUUAUUUAUAGUUAUUUCGCUGGGUGGAAAAAUAUUUUUAUAUUUUUCCAAAGAUGGGUUCUUGUGAAAUGUUUUCUUUGUUUGUUUGGAUUUUUAUGUUUUCUUUUUUCCUUUGAGAAUUUUGUGACAGUUUUCUUAGGCUCCAGGAGCAACCUUUUCUUCCUGGAAACCAGGACAAAAUGGCUGUUGUGAGUCCUUCACUGAAAGACCUCUGUCCAACACUCAACACAAGUCUCUAAAUGCUGCCAUUCCCCCAACUAUUAAAUAAUAGUUGUAACAGGCAUGACUGAGUUCUGAUUUUUUGAGAGACAACAGGAGAGGUCAGCUGCACUUAAUCACUGACUUCACACAUACGUUUUACAUGUAACGUAAAUUGUAUCAAAUUUUUUUCUUGCAAAGUUUUCACUUCCAUUCCAAAGGGACUCCUACUUCCAAAAUUGCUUUCAAGUAUCAAAAUGCAUGUGAUCUUCAUGGCUGAGAAUGCUGUUUUAUUCCUGUGUUGUGAUUGUACAGCAUCCUAAGAAAUCUUCAUGCUAAUAUUUCUUAUAUCUGUGAGUAAAAAUGACCUAGAAUCAUAGAUAAAUGCAGAUUAUUCGACUGGUGGGAUUUACUGAUUUUCCUG
rnacentral:lncRNA from 1 species